UUGCCCAUUUAAGGCUGACUCUGCCUUUUUAGUGGCCAACAUGGGGGGGAUACAAUAGUUCUCAUAAACCGUUGCUUUGGAUCCUGUUGGGAGGUACAACU